rnacentral:rRNA from 1 species
UACGUAGGGGGCAAGCGUUGUCCGGAUUCAUUGGGCGUAAAGAGCGUGUAGGUGGCCAGGUAGGUCGGUUGUGAAAACUGGAGGCUCAACCUUCAGAGGUCGACCGAAACCAUCUGGCUAGGGUCCGGGAGAGGAGAGUGGAAUUCCUGGUGUAGCGGUGAAAUGCGUAGAUAUCGGGAGGAACACCAGUGGCGAAGGCGAGUCUCUGGGAUGAUGCUGACGCUGAGGCGCGAAAGCCAGGGGAGCAAACGGG